rnacentral:lncRNA from 1 species
AUUGGCAAGGAAUUCAAUUCAGAAGAACUGAGAGAGACUCUUGGAAGUAAUUUGGGAGAGAGAUGAAUGCUUCUAGAAGAAGCAGUGCCUGUAUUGUCGAAGCCCGACUCUCUCUCCUAACAGCACAUCCAUUCUGUCAAGGUUGCUCUCCCACUUAUUCAUUCACACACAAAUUCAUUCAUUUUUUUUCAAUAAAUAUUUGUUUCACUCCUUUCAAACAUCUUUUAUUUGAGUAUAGUUGCUUUAUAAUGUGUCGGUUUCUGCUAUACAGCAAAGUGAAUCAGCAAUACAUACACAUAUACCCCCAUUUUUGGAUUCUUAUAGUGAGAACCUACAUUGAGUAGAGAAAACUGUAUCCAAUGCUCUGUGGUGGCCUAAAUGGGAAGGGGAUCCAAAAAAGGAGGGUAUAUGUGUUAUAUUUCGAUCCUAACUUCCCGAUUUGUUUCACCUCCUCUUCCCACCUUGUUAUCCAUAUGUUCAUUAUGUCUGUGUCUCUAUUUCUUUGGAAAUAAGUUCAUCUGUACUGUUUUUCUAGAUUCUGCAUAUAAGAGAUGUUAAGUGAUACUUGUUUUUCUCUUCCUGACUUACUUCACUCUGUAUGACAGCCUCUAGGUCCAUUCAUAUCUCUGCAAAUGGUAGUUUUAUUCAUUUUUAUGGCUGAAUAUUAUUCUACUGCAUAUGUGUACCACAUCUUCUUUUCCCAUUCCUCUGUGGAUGGACAUUUAGGUUGCUUCCAUGUAAGUCAUGCUAAUUUUAUAAACACUGAAGUUAUAGCAGUAAGCAAAAUGAUCUCUGCUCUAAUGCAGACUGUAGCAUCCUUUCAGCANNNNUGAAUUUCUCACACUUUACAAAAUGUAUGCUUCAGUGCUUAGUUAUUCCAGAACCUAAAGGAAAACAUUACUUUUGGUGACAUUUCAAGCCCUGGACAAAGGGUGAGAUGUGUCAGAUAAACAGCUAAAUAAAACAAAACACUUCACCUUCUUGAAAUUAUAUUGUGUAGGUAACUAACUGCUUUCCUACUCACAAAAUUACAUGUACCGUCAUAGUUUCAACUUAUUAAAAAUCUAUUUUCUGCAAAGCACUAUGUUGAAUGCUUUACAUGUAUUAUCUCAUUUAAUCCUUAUAAAAAAUGUAAUAAAUUCAGAACUGAAGUAGCCAGAAAAAUGACUCCUAAAAAGGUGUCUGCAUAUCUGAUCCCCAGAUUAGUUACUAUAUUACAUAACAAAAGUUCAAGGUUUUGAGAUGAUGGGAUGAUCCUGAGUUAUCCAGNNNNNNNNNNNNNNNNNNNNNNNNNNNNNNNNNNNNNNNNNNNNNNNNNNNNNNNNNNNNNNNNNNNNNNNNNNNNNNNNNNNNNNNNNNNNNNNNNNNACAAAAGUUCAAGGUUUUGAGAUGAUGGGAUGAUCCUGAGUUAUCCAGAUGGACGCAAAGUAAUCACAUGAACCCUUAAAAGUGGAGAACUUUUCUCAGUUGCAGUCCAAGAGACAGAUGAGACAAUAGAAGAAAGGUCUGAGAAACAGUAGCUUGAACAGAAUUUCUGUUACUGGUUCUGAGACAUAGGGGGCUAUGUGUUAGGACCAGAGAGAGAUCUCCAGGAGCCUUCCAAAGUGACAUAGCAAGGGAACAGAGACAUCAGUUCUACAACUGCAUGGAAGGAUUCCCACCAAGAACUGCAAGUGGAUAGGAAGUGGCUUCUCGCCUAGAGCCUCGAUAAAGGGAAGAAUUCUUGCCAUCACAUGGAUUUUAGCCUGUUGAGACAUGCACUGGACUUCUGACCUUUGACAACAUUUGCAUUGCUUUGGUCACUUACUUUGUGGGAACUGUUUUACAGCAGUAAUAGGAAACUAACAAGGAUGAUAAUAACUUUUUUUAAUAGAUGAGGAAACCGAGGCUCAGUGAUUUACACUACUGUGUUCAUAUGAAGCAGUAAAAAGACUGAGCUAGGAUUUAAACCUAGUGAAUUCUGGUUUCAGUGAACUCUGGUUUCUUUUUACUGAAAAAAGAUUGUUCUUCGUACAGAAGAGGAAAUUGAAGUCUAAGUGCUUACUCAUGGUCAUUGAACAAUUUGGCAGAGCUGGGACCACAAUUCAAGUUUACUGUAAAGCAAAGAAGUUGUUCGGUAAGAAGAGAUAAAAAGAUGAGAGAUGUAUGGAUGUGUGCUAAAUUGCUUCAGUUGUGUGUGACUCUUUGUGACCCUGUGAAUUGUAACCUGCCAGACUUGGAAGAAAAGUUAUGACCAACCUAGAUAGCAUAUUGAAAAGCAGAG